GAUGAACGCUGGCGGCGUGCCUAAUACAUGCAAGUCGAGCGAACAGACGAGGAGCUUGCUCCUCUGACGUUAGCGGCGGACGGGUGAGUAACACGUGGAUAACCUACCUAUAAGACUGGGAUAACUUCGGGAAACCGGAGCUAAUACCGGAUAAUAUAUUGAACCGCAUGGUUCAAUAGUGAAAGACGGUUUUGCUGUCACUUAUAGAUGGAUCCGCGCCGCAUUAGCUAGUUGGUAAGGUAACGGCUUACCAAGGCAACGAUGCGUAACCGACCUGAGAGGGUGAUCGGCCACACUGGAACAGAGACACGGUCCAGACUCCUACGGGAGGCAGAAGUAGGGAAUCUUCCGCAAUGGGCGAAAGCCUGACGGAGCAACGCCGCGUGAGUGAUGAAGGUCUUCGGAUCGUAAAACUCUGUUAUUAGGGAAGAACAAAUGUGUAAGUAACUAUGCACGUCUUGACGGUACCUAAUCAGAAAGCCACGGCUAACUACGCG
rnacentral:rRNA from 1 species